rnacentral:rRNA from 1 species
UACGUAGGGGGCAAGCGUUAUCCGGAAUCAUUGGGCGUAAAGCGCGUGUAGGCGGUUCCGUAAGUCCGCUCUGAAAGCCCAGGGCUCAACCCUGGGAGGCUGGGUGGAUACUACGGAACUGGAGUACGGAAGAGGAGAUUGGAAUUCCGUGGUGUAGCGGUGAAAUGCGCAGAUAUCAGGAGGAACACCAACAGCGAAGGCAGAUCUCUGGGACGUUACUGACGCUGAGACGCGAAGCGUGGGGAGCAAACAGG